UAAUAUUCAAAAAGUACUAGAGUUAUCCAUUGACGAAGCCGCCAGAAACUCUUGUCGAGGAAUUUCAUUUGAACACAAAUACAUACAUAACAUUAAUAAUGAUAAUAAUUUUUUACUGUAGUUUUAUUUUUAUAAUAAAUAUCAUUAGAGGUGACUGAAUCUCAGCUCACUCCGGCGAAAAACCAAGCCAUAGCACUGUCAUCGUUCUCCCCACAUAGUUUAAUGGCGGAAACGGUAAUCCGUUUUGGCAUAAUCGGCUGCGCAGAGAUUGCCCGAAAGAUCUCUCGCGCGAUUAUCCUCGCACCCAACGCCCAACUCUCUGCCGUCGCCAGCCGCUCGGUGGAAAAAGCGGCGGCCUUUGCUAAAGCUAACAACUUUCCUCCCGAUGCCAAGAUAUAUGGCUCCUACGAGUCCCUCCUCGACGACCCAGAUAUCGACGCCGUCUAUGUUCCUUUACCCACCAGUCUUCAUGUGAAGUGGGCCUGUUUGGUAGCUCAGAAGAAGAAGCAUAUCUUGUUGGAGAAGCCUGUGGGACUCAAUGUUGGUGAGUUUGACAAAAUUUUGGAUGCUUGCGAGGUUAAUGGAGUGCAGAUUAUGGAUGGUACCAUGUGGAUGCAUAAUCCCAGAACCAAGAAGAUGCGAGAGUUCUUGGCUGAUAAGGAGCGUUUUGGAGAGCUCAGAACGAUACACAGUACUUUUACAUUUGCUGGUGAUGAGGAUUUUCUGAAGAAUGACAUUCGUGUCAAGCCAGAUCUUGAUGGUCUUGGUGCUCUUGGAGAUGCUGGGUGGUAUCCUAUUCGGGCAAUCCUCUGGGCCGCUGAUUAUGAAUUGCCAAAGACUGUUAUAGCCUUGCGUGGACCUGUUUUAAAUGAAGCGGGUGUGAUUUUGGCCUGUGGGGCUUCUUUACAUUGGGAAGAUGGCAAAGUAGCAACAUUGCAUUGCUCUUUUUUAACGCAUUUGACCAUGUUUGUUACUGCAAUUGGUACAAAGGGAACUUUGCACGUUGAUGAUUUCAUCGUUCCUUUUAAUGAGAAGGAAGCCCCUUACACUACAUCUUCAAAAUCUUGGUUCAAUGAACUUGUGACAGGGUGGGAACCGUUGCCAAGCCAGAACAUGGUCUUCGUAGAUCUCCCUCAGGAAGCUUGCAUGGUGAGAGAAUUUGCUAGGUUGGUUGGAAAUAUCAAGGUGAAUGGUGCAAAACCUGACCAAACGUGGCCAACUCGCAGCAGGAAGACACAACUCAUACUGGAUGCAGUAAAGACAUCAAUUGAGAGAGGUUUCGAGCCUGUUGAGAUUGCGAAUUGAUUGAGGCUUAUCCUGCCUGUAAGUGUCUGUUUAUUUGAUUCAGAAUUCUCUUUGGUGCAAGCAAGGUUGUUGUUGUUGUUGUUGUUGUUAAUCAGCUUACAUAGGGUGUAAGAGCUUGCUGAGGUGGCCUGCCCUUUUACAUAUGAAACUUUCCUUAGGAGGGAGAGUUGCCUACAGUUGUUAGUUAAAGAAGCUGAUGUUUUGAAGCGUAUAGUCUCCAGCAUUUUGAUUUGCCGUAGCUGGAACCCUGAACAGUUACCUUGUAGAAACAGAUGGGCAUAGGACAUCCGUUCUCAAAAAGCUUAAUUGGAACUAGAGAUGUAUGUUUGCUGUAGCAUUUUCUACCCUGCAAUUGCACUGCUUAUAAACUGGCCUUUACUAUCUUUUCCUGAAUGUUUCAGGAGAGGCAUAUCAAAGUUUUAUAAUGGCAAGUCGAAGUCGUUCACAAGUUUAGCAGAUGCAUCCUCUGCUUCCUCUAUUAAAGAUUUUGCAAAACCAGAAAAUCCCUAUAACAGGAAGCGCAAGAAUCAAUUAGCUCGCAGCAAUUUCUGGAAUAAGAAUUGCAAUUAUCCCCCCAAAGAUGAUGCAAGUGGCAUAUCAAAAAGACCAGCAAACUCCAAUCGAAGUACAUCAGCCCUUUGCUCGACCAUGAACUGCUCUAAAAGCAAUAGUAAAAGGGAGGACUCUCAUCCAUUGUCAUCACUACCUUCUUGUCUUCCUCCCUUACAUCCGCAAGGAAAAUCAUCACUCAACAAUGAAUCAUGUUCUCCGCUACCUCAAAGGAGCUCUCAUUGGCGAUCAUUCUCCCUUUCUGAUCUACAAUGUGCUACUGCCGCAGCUCAUAAUAGCUGAUUUGACAAUUGUGGUGACAGCAUUGACAAUAUACUACAUUGACAUAUGGCUUUUGUUGGCUUCACACUAUGAGUCUGAAGUUGAAAAUAUUAGUGUUCAAGUGUUGAAGUUUGUUGCAGAUGACUUGAUGGUUCUGCUUCUGCGUUUUGUACUCACAGAGUUAGGCGUAGCAUGUAUGGGCAUUUUAAGAAGAUACACUGAGGUGCACUGCUUCUCACAUUUUGUCUGCUAUGGCUGUUAGAAAAUGUCUAGAUUGUUUCAUUGUAUUAUUACUAUCAUACAAGUACCUUGUCUUCUUUUCUAAAUGAGUAUUAACUAAUAAAUUACAUUUUAAAACAUGUAUGAUCUCCUUGCGUCCUAUUUGAUGUGUUUCAUUGUUUCUUUCUGCAUGUAUUUUAUUGUUAUUAACAUUUUGGUCUUUCUCUUUCGAAAAA
rnacentral:misc_RNA from 1 species